CAAGUGAAUAAGCGCAUACGGUGGAUGCCUAGGCGAUAAGAGGCGACGAAGGACGUAGUAGCAUGCGAUAAGCCGCGGGGAGUUUGCAAACUAACUUUGAUCCGCGGAUUUCCGAAUGGGGCAACCCAAUCAGGGUAACCUGAUUAUCCUUAAGUGAAUACAUAGCUUAAGGAGGCGAACCCGGGGAACUGAAACAUCUAAGUACCCGGAGGAAAAGAAAUCAACCGAGAUUCCCUUAGUAGCGGCGAGCGAACGGGGAGCAGCCCUUAAGCAUCGAGCAAAUUAGUAGAACAGUCUGGAAAGUCUGGCGAUACAGCGUGAUAGCCGCGUAUACGAAAAUUUGCUGGGUGUGAAAACGAGUAGGACGGGGCACGUGAAACCUUGUCUGAAUAUGGGGGGACCAUCCUCCAAGGCUAAAUACUCCUUAUCGACCGAUAGUGAACCAGUACCGUGAGGGAAAGGCGAAAAGAACCCCGGAGAGGGGAGUGAAAUAGAACCUGAAACCGUAUGCGUACAAGCAGUAGGAGCAGACUUGUUCUGUGACUGCGUACCUUUUGUAUAAUGGGUCAGCGACUUAAUCUCAGUGGCAAGCUUAACCGACUAGGGGAGGCGUAGCGAAAGCGAGUCUGAAUAGGGCGUCAUAGUCGCUGGGAUUAGACCCGAAACCGGGCGAUCUAUCCAUGACCAGGUUGAAGGUUGGGUAAUACCAACUGGAGGACCGAACCGGGAUCCGUUGAAAAGGAUUCGGAUGAGUUGUGGAUCGGAGUGAAAGGCUAAUCAAGCCCGGAGAUAGCUGGUUCUCCUCGAAAGCUAUUUAGGUAGCGCCUCGUGUAUGACUGCUGGGGGUAGAGCACUGUUUCGGCUAGGGGGUCAUCUCGACUUACCAACCCGAUGCAAACUCCGAAUACCAGCAAGUUUGAGCACGGGAGACACACGUCGGGUGAUAAGGUCCGUCGUGAAAAGGGAAACAGCCCAGACCGUCAGCUAAGGUCCCCAAAUCUAUGCUCAGUGGGAAACGAUGUGAGAAGGCCCAGACAGCCAGGAGGUUGGCUUAGAAGCAGCCACCCUUUAAAGAAAGCGUAAUAGCUCACUGGUCGAGUCGGCUUGCGCGGAAGAUUCACCGGGGCUAAGCAUAGUACCGAAGCUACGGAUCAUACUUUGAGUAUGGUGGUAGAGGAGCGUUCUGUACGCCUGCGAAGGUCGAUUGAGAAGUCGGCUGGAGGUAUCAGAAGUGCGAAUGCUGACAUGAGUAACGAUAAUGGGGGUGAAAAACCCCCACGCCGAAAGCCCAAGGUUUCCUGCGCAACGCUAAUCGACGCAGGGUUAGUCGGCACCUAAGGCGAGGCCGAAAGGCGUAGUCGAUGGAAAACAGGUUAAUAUUCCUGUACCGGAGGUAACUGCGAUGGGGUGACGGAGAAGGCUAGGUCAGCUGUCUGUUGGAUUAGGCAGUUUAAGCGCGUAGGGAGAUCCUUUAGGCAAAUCCGGAGGGUCAAUUCUGAGACGUGAUGACGAGCUUCCCCUUGGGGAAGCGAAGUGAUUGAUGCCCUGCUUCCAAGAAAAACCUCUAAGCUUCAGGUUAUCUGCGGCCGUACCCUAAACCGACACAGGUGGGUGGGAUGAGAAUUCUAAGGCGCUUGAGAGAACUCGGGUGAAGGAACUAGGCAAAAUGGUACCGUAACUUCGGGAGAAGGUACGCCCUUGGUAGGUGAAGUGACUUGCUCAUGGAGCUGAAGAGGGUAGCAUUAAACUGGUGGCUGCGACUGUUUAGCAAAAACAUAGCACUCUGCAAACUCGAAAGAGGACGUAUAGGGUGUGACGCCUGCCCGGUGCCGGAAGGUUAAUUGAUGGGGUUAUCUUCGGAGAAGCUCUUGAUCGAAGCCCCGGUAAACGGCGGCCGUAACUAUAACGGUCCUAAGGUAGCGAAAUUCCUUGUCGGGUAAGUUCCGACCUGCACGAAUGGCGUAACGAUGGCCACACUGUCUCCACCCGAGACUCAGUGAAAUUGAAAUCGCUGUGAAGAUGCAGUGUACCCGCGGCUAGACGGAAAGACCCCGUGAACCUUUACUAUAGCUUGACACUGGACUUUGAACCUAUUUGUGUAGGAUAGGUGGGAGGCUGUGAAGCACCAACGCCAGUUGGUGUGGAGCCGACCUUGAAAUACCACCCUGGUAUGUUUGAAGUUCUAACCUAGGUCCGUAAUCCGGAUUGGGGACAGUGUCUGGUGGGUAGUUUGACUGGGGCGGUCUCCUCCCAAAGAGUAACGGAGGAGCACGAAGGUGUGCUCAGCAUGGUCGGAAAUCAUGCGCUGAGUGUAAAGGCAAAAGCACGCUUGACUGCGAGACGGACAAGUCGAGCAGGUACGAAAGUAGGUCUUAGUGAUCCGGUGGUUCUGAAUGGAAGGGCCAUCGCUCAACGGAUAAAAGGUACUCCGGGGAUAACAGGCUGAUACCGCCCAAGAGUUCAUAUCGACGGCGGUGUUUGGCACCUCGAUGUCGGCUCAUCACAUCCUAGGGCUGAAGCAGGUCCUAAGGGUAUGGCUGUUCGCCAUUUAAAGUGGUACGCGAGCUGGGUUCAGAACGUCGUGAGACAGUUCGGUCCCUAUCUGCCGUGGGCGUUUGAGAUUUGAGGGAAGCUGCUCCUAGUACGAGAGGACCGGAGUGGACGAACCUCUGGUGUUCCGGUUGUCAUGCCAAUGGCAUUGCCGGGUAGCUAUGUUCGGACGGGAUAACCGCUGAAAGCAUCUAAGCGGGAAGCCUCUCCCAAGAUGAGAUCUCACUGGGACCGCGAGUCCCCUGAAGGGCCCUGAGAGACGAUCAGGUUGAUAGGUCAGGUGUGGAAGUGCAGUAAUGUAUGAAGCUAACUGAUACUAAUUGCCCGUGAGGCUUGACCA
rnacentral:rRNA from 1 species